CUGGCUGUAGGUGUAAAUGGACAAAUCCUGGGUAGCUGUAAUUAGGGAUUUGUAAUUAGAGAUCUGUAAUGUAGAAUGCAGUUGGAGUCUAGAUAGUAUGCCUAGAUUGACAGAAGAUGUCAGGAGCUGUGAAGUUAUCCUGCAGCACUUUGAGUUGUGUCUUUGCUUUCUUUCAGAUGCGGAUGGAUGAAAUCCGUGUCAGAGGGCCCCAUCCAGGGUAAGGGUGUUCCCGCGAGAAGGUAAGUCACGGUUUGUCUUUGCAGGGGACCUGGAACCGGUCACUGUGUGACAGCUCUGUUCUUUGUUGUUAUUUUUAGGAUGUAAAGCCAGCUAUCCACGGUCAGGGCGAAGUCGGCAAGGUGAGCAGUGAGGGGUGGAGAGAAGCGGUUGUUAUUGCUGAGGUCUCAGUUUCAGCUGCAACUCCAAGCAUCCCUUCUCCUUUGCGUGCUUUAGGCGGUCCAGGCACCUUUUACCGAGACCCCCUCGCCGACUGGCCGGCAGGCCUGGUUCGCCGCUCCCGUGAGCCCUGCGGAAGCGUUAAGGGACCGCGUGCUGAAGCCUUGGCGUUUUCCACGUGACGGUGCCAUCCGGGCAGCCUUUAGCAACAGCCGAGGGGUUGCCGCGUGCCCCGCGAUGAUGGCAUCUGGCUCCGGGCGUGGCCGAAGCGUGCGGCCCUGGGAUGCGGGCGUUCUCGAGAGACCCUCAUCAAGAGACAGCAGCAUGGUGACGGCAGGAACUGGGCAGACGACGAGACGGCAUUCCUUGGCAGCCCGUGUGGACUCUCACCCCCCGGGCGUCCGAGAGCUAACUCAAAGGCUACGAUCCGCAGAGGGGGGAUGGAAGCGGGGUGCCGGGCUGGGACUCGUGGCCAGGAAGUUUUGAGUCUGCUUUGGACGUAGCGAGGUUCAAGAAGUGGCCCUUUAGGCCACCUCAAGGGAAAGCCUCACUUUGGCUCCCAAUGCUGAGGUGCACAGGGCAGAGCGGUCCGGGGAUGUGUCGGGUCACUUGUCUGUCGUGCCUUUUGUGCACCUCGUGUCGUAUGUGUCUUGCCUUAGCCCUUCCAGGAGGUUACAGGAAACCCUGGCGUCACUCUUAAC